rnacentral:sRNA from 12 species
AUAAAAUGCAGAUAGGAAUAUCUGUAUACUCAUGUUACCGAAUUAACGUUUAAGCGAUAUGUGCUAUCGCCGGACAUGAGGCCGCCUUUAAGGCGGUUUUUUUUGUA